GACGUAGGGGGCAAGCGUUGUUCGGAAUUAUUGGGCGUAAAGCGCUCGUAGGCGGGACAGGAAGUUCGUGUUGAAAGACCUCGGCUCAACUGAGGGACCGGCUCGAAUACUCUUGUUCUUGAGGCAAUCAGAGGGUGAUGGAAUUCCCGGUGUAGCGGUGAAAUGCGCAGAUAUCAGGAGGAACACCGGUGGCGAAGGCGCCACUCUGGGCCGAAACUGACGCUGAGGAGCGAAAGCGUGGGUAGCAAACAGG
rnacentral:rRNA from 1 species